rnacentral:rRNA from 1 species
AGAGUUUGAUUAUGGCUCAGGAUGAACGCUGGCGGCGUGCUUAACACAUGCAAGUCGAACGGAGUUUUUAAACGGAAGUUUUCGGAUGGAAGUUUAGAAACUUAGUGGCGGACGGGUGAGUAACGCGUGGGUAACCUGCCUCAUACAGGGGGAUAACAGUUAGAAAUGACUGCUAACACCGCAUAAUAUAGCGAAACCGCAUGAUUUUUGCUAUCAAAUAUUUAUAGGUAUGAGAUGGGCCCGCGUCUGAUUAGCUAGUUGGUGGGGUAAAAGCCUACCAAGGCGACGAUCAGUAGCCGGCUUGAGAGAGUGACCGGCCACAUUGGGACUGAGACACGGCCCAAACUCCUACGGGAGGCAGCAGUGGGGAAUAUUGGACAAUGGGGGAAACCCUGAUCCAGCCGACGCCGCGUGAGUGAAGAAGUAUUUCGGUAUGUAAAGCUCUAUCAGCAGGGAAGAUAAUGACAGUACCUGACUAAGAAGCCCCGGCUAACUACGUGCCAGCCGCCGC